rnacentral:rRNA from 1 species
AUUGAACGCUGGCGGUAUGCUUAACACAUGCAAGUCGAACGGCAGCACGGGGCAACCCUGGUGGCGAGUGGCGAACGGGUGAGUAAUGCAUCGGAACGUACCCAGUCGUGGGGGAGUAACGCAGCGAAAGUUGUGCUAAUACCGCAUACGACCUGAGGGUGAAAGCGGGGACCGUAAGGCCUCGCGCGAUUGGAGCGGCCGAUGUCUGAUUAGCUAGGUUGGUGGGGUAAAAGGCCCACCAAGGCGACGAUCAGUAGCGGGUCUGAGAGGAUGAUCCGCCACGCUGGGACUGAGACACGGCCCAGACUCCUACGGGAGGCAGCGAGUUGGGGAAUUUUGGACGAAUGGGGGCGAACCCUGAUCCAGCCAUGCCGCGUAGCGGGAAGAAGGCC